CCUGCAUUUGGUAGAAUCUACAGAAGUCCCAGAAUCUCAGAAUGUCACAGUGAGGGCCUUGGCGCCCCCUGCCUGAAGCCCAUUUGGGGCAUCCACUCUCCACUCUCUACAGGCGAUCCUCCCCUCCCAUAAUCAGCCGGAACGGUGUCCUCUUCCAACCCCCAGGCACCUCAUUCUUGGGACCUGUCACCCUGGAUAGAACGACACACCUACAUCCUCCUUAGGUCAGAAAAGACAAGAAUGCCCAGAUGGAUCAAAUUCUCAUCUUCUGAAGGCCAGAGAAAAUCAAGACAGAAGCUGGGUAGAAAAAUGUGAGAACAGAGGGGGGUGCUUCUUCCUCUCGCCCUGGAUGAAGCCUCCUGUUGAUGACGGAGAAGACUGUGUGUAUGUCUCCCUUUCAGCUUUCCCAGAAUGCUUAACACAGGGAGAGGGUGGGACACAUGCCCACACGCACAAACAGCACACUCAGAAUGGCCAGAGGCAGGUGCCCUUUAAUGGGGUCCCCCAGAACAGCAGAAUCCUCAUCCAGGAGCCAGAGCACUGACAGCCAGAGUGACAUGGAGGGUUUCUGCAGGAACAAGGUUCAGAAGAUGGCACCGAUGGGGGGCCGGGCGCCCAGCCACUCAGUUUCACUGAUCCCUCUGCCACACCUUCUUGGCGGCAGCAAGCACAGACUAGGUGAGGUGUGGGGGAAGGAGUAAAGUCCAGAGGCA